rnacentral:tRNA from 1 species
GGGUACAGCUCAGUGGUAGGGUGCGUGCCUAGCAUGCACAAGGUCCUGGGUUCAAUCCCCAGUACCUCCA